GACGAACGCUGGCGGCGUGCUUAAUGCAUGCAAGUCGAACGAAGAACCCACUAUGGGUAACCACUGUGGAUUUCUUAGUGGCGAACGGGUGAGUAACACGUGAGAAACCUGCCCCGGAGACCGGGAUAGCCCAGGGAAACCUGGAUUAAUACCGGAUACCCUCUCUUGAUCGCAUGAUCGGUUGAGGAAAUGGUCCGCUGCUCCGGGAUGGUCUCGCGCCCUAUCAGCUAGUUGGUGAGGUAACGGCUCACCAAGGCAAUGACGGGUAGCUGGUCUGAGAGGACGAUCAGCCACACUGGGACUGAGACACGGCCCAGACUCCUACGGGAGGCAGCAGCAGGGAAUUUUGCACAAUGGGCGAAAGCCUGAUGCAGCGACGCCGCGUGGUGGAUGAAUGCCUUCGGGUUGUAAACCCCUUUCAGGAGGGACGAAGCGAAAGUGACGGUACCUCCAGAAGAAGCCCCGGCCAACUACGUGCCAGCAGCCGCGGUAAUACGUAGGGGGCGAGCGUUGUCCGGAUUUAUUGGGCGUAAAGAGCUCGUAGGCGGCUCAGCAAGUCGGCCGUGAAAGCCUGAGGCUCAACCUCAGAUGCCGGUCGAAACUGCUGUGGCUAGGGUUCGGUAGAGGAGAGUGGAAUUCCCGGUGUAGCGGUGAAAUGCGCAGAUAUCGGGAGGAACACCAGUAGCGAAGGCGGCUCUCUGGGCCGACACCGACGCUGAGAGCGAAAGCUAGGGGAGCAAACAGGAUUAGAUCCCUGGUAGUCCUAGCAUAAACGUUGGGAACUAGGUGUGGCGGAUUCAUUGACAUCUGCCGUGCCGAAGCUAACGCAUUAAGUUCCCCGCCUGGGGAGUACGGUCGCAAGGCUAAAACUCAAAGGAAUUGACGGGAGCCCGCACAAGCGGCGGAGCAUGCGGCUUAAUUCGAUGGUACCCGAAGAACCUUACCUGGACUUGACAUAAUGGGAAAAACCCUAGAGAUAGGGUGUGCGUAAGCGUCCAUUACAGGUGGUGCAUGGCUGUCGUCAGCUCGUGUCGUGAGAUGUUGGGUUAAGUCCCGCAACGAGCGCAACCCCUAUCCUAUGUUGCCAGCGGAUUAUGCCGGGGACUCAUGGGAGACUGCCGGGGACAACUCGGAGGAGGGCGGGGACGACGUCAAGUCAUCAUGCCCCUUAUGUCCAGGGCUGCACGCAUGCUACAAUGGCAGGUACAACGGGCAGCGAUCCCGCGAGGGUGAGCGAAUCCUUUAAAGCCUGUCUCAGUUCGGAUCGGAGUCUGCAACUCGACUCCGUGAAGUCGGAGUCGCUAGUAAUCGCGAAUCAGCUAUGUCGCGGUGAAUACGUUCCCGGGCCUUGUACACACCGCCCGUCACACCACGAAAGUUGGCGAUACCUGAAGUUACUAGGCUAACCCGGCACUCAACUAAGCACAUUAAGCCUUAUUUUAAGCAAAUAAGCUAGUGUAUUUAGUUGAGUGCAGGGAGGCAGGUACCGAAGGUAUGGCUGGUGAUUGGGGUG
rnacentral:rRNA from 1 species